AUGAACGCUGGCGGUAUGCUUAGCACAUGCAAGUCGAACGGUCUCUUCGGAGAUAGUGGCGGACGGGUGAGUAACGCGUGAGAAUCUGUCUUCAGGUCGGGGACAACCACUGGAAACGGUGGCUAAUACCGGAUGUGCCUUUGGGUGAAAGAUUAAUUGCCUGGAGAUGAGCUCGCGUCUGAUUAGCUAGUAGGUGUGGUAAGAGCGCACCUAGGCGACGAUCAGUAGCUGGUCUGAGAGGAUGAUCAGCCACACUGGGACUGAGACACGGCCCAGACUCCUACGGGAGGCAGCAGUGGGGAAUUUUCCGCAAUGGGCGAAAGCCUGACGGAGCAAUACCGCGUGAGGGAGGAAGGCUCUUGGGUUGUAAACCUCUUUUCUCAAGGAAGAACACAAUGACGGUACUUGAGGUAUCAGCAUCGGCUAACUCCGUGCCAGCAGCCGCGGUAAUACGGAGGAUGCAAGCGUUAUCCGGAAUGAUUGGGCGUAAAGCGUCCGCAGGUGGCUUUGUAAGUCUGCUGUUAAAGAGUGAGGCUCAACCUCAUAAAAGCAGUGGAAACUACAAGGCUAGAGUACGUUCGGGGCAGAAGGAAUUCCUGGUGUAGCGGUGAAAUGCGUAGAGAUCAGGAAGAACACCGGUGGCGAAAGCGUUCUGCUAGGCCGUAACUGACACUGAGGGACGAAAGCUAGGGGAGCGAAUGGGAUUAGAUACCCCAGUAGUCCUAGCCGUAAACGAUGGAUACUAGGCGUGGCUUGUAUCGACCCGAGCCGUGCCGGAGCUAACGCGUUAAGUAUCCCGCCUGGGGAGUACGCACGCAAGUGUGAAACUCAAAGGAAUUGACGGGGGCCCGCACAAGCGGUGGAGUAUGUGGUUUAAUUCGAUGCAACGCGAAGAACCUUACCAAGACUUGACAUGUCGCGAACCUUUGUGAAAGCAGAGGGUGCCUUCGGGAGCGCGAACACAGGUGGUGCAUGGCUGUCGUCAGCUCGUGUCGUGAGAUGUUGGGUUAAGUCCCGCAACGAGCGCAACCCUCGUUUUUAGUUGCCAGCAUUAAGUUGGGCACUCUAGAGAGACUGCCGGUGACAAACCGGAGGAAGGUGGGGAUGACGUCAAGUCAGCAUGCCCCUUACGUCUUGGGCUACACACGUACUACAAUGCUACGGACAAAGGGCAGCAAGCUAGUGAUAGCAAGCAAAUCUCAUAAACCGUAGCUCAGUUCAGAUCGCAGGCUGCAACUCGCCUGCGUGAAGUCGGAAUCGCUAGUAAUUGCAGGUCAGCAUACUGCAGUGAAUUCGUUCCCGGGCCUUGUACACACCGCCCGUCACACCAUGGAAGCUGGCAACGCCCGAAGUCAUUACUCCAACUGUUCGCAGAGGAGGAUGCCUAAGGCAGUGCUGGUGACUGGGGUG
rnacentral:rRNA from 1 species